UAAAAGGGAACUACUGUCAGCUUGUCACCAAAUUGCUAAAGGAAUGGAGUAUUUAUCAACAAGGAAGUUUAUACAUAGGGACCUUGCCGCCAGAAAUUGCAUGAUGGACGAAUACAAUUUGCUAAAGGUUUCUGAUUUUGGUCUUUCGCAAGAGAUUUACGGUAAGACGUAUUUCCGUCAGGCCGAGGGAGAAGAGACUAAA